rnacentral:rRNA from 1 species
AACGUAGGUUCCGAGCGUUAUCCGGAUUUACUGGGCGUAAAGCGCGUUCAGGCGGUUUGGCAAGUCGGGCAUGAAAUCUCUCGGCUCAACCGGGAGAGGCUGUCCGAUACUGCUGGACUUGAGGGCAGUAGAGGGUGGUGGAAUUCCGGGUGUAGUGGUGAAAUGCGUAGAUAUCCGGAGGAACACCAGUGGCGAAAGCGGCCACCUGGACUGCACCUGACGCUGACACGCGAAAGCUAGGGGAGCGAACGGG